rnacentral:sRNA from 1 species
AGUGGUGUCCAUGAUGGUGGGUUAUCAUAUCUUAUGAAUGCCACUGUCACUAAAGUUGGUAUAUUACUCCCCACUGAUAAAUUGGACUAACUUAAA